rnacentral:tRNA from 1 species
UGGAGCAGCUCGGUAGCUCGUCGGGCUCAUAACCCGAAGGUCGUCGGUUCAAAUCCGGC